rnacentral:rRNA from 1 species
UACGAAGGGGGCUAGCGUUGCUCGGAAUCACUGGGCGUAAAGGGUGCGUAGGCGGGUCUUUAAGUCAGGGGUGAAAUCCUGGAGCUCAACUCCAGAACUGCCUUUGAUACUGAGGAUCUUGAGUUCGGGAGAGGUGAGUGGAACUACGAGUGUAGAGGUGAAAUUCGUAGAUAUUCGCAAGAACACCAGUGGCGAAGGCGGCUCACUGGCCCGAUAACUGACGCUGAGGCACGAAAGCG